UUUUAGCCCUGACAGAAGUGAUAUCCUUUUACGGCGGUCCCGGCCCGAAGCUUCGGGAUCGGGAUGCCGUGAAAGAUUUAACGGAUGGCGGGACGAGUG
rfam:Flavobacterium plurextorum strain CCTG 60112 WGS0045_contig_2, whole genome shotgun sequence.